UUGGCAGCAUAAGAAAAAGAAGAAAAAAAGUGCAUAGAAUUCUGCCUUGAACAUCACUGUCCACGGGCUGCCUUCAAAAGACAGAAGGGCUCUACCACGGAAUGCCUGUUUCAGAUUUAAAAAAUAACCUGCUGAGAUAUGCUGGCAGGGCUUCCUUCAGCAGCCACAAGAAGCUUCUCAGGUGAGAAGAAACCCACUGCUGUUAGCACUAUAGAUUUCUUUAAGGUCACAGGCCUCUUCCAAUUAGGGGUAUCAUCCAUCUCUGGUGGCCUUUCCCUCCUGAAGCUGGGGAAAUAUUUCCUCCCCCUCCAACCCAUUUACCACCCGCUCCAUAUAACCGCCUUGAAGACCUCUUUGGGCUUGAAGAAUAACUUAAGACAGUUUUCCUAUUGAGUGCUGAACAUUUGCCUCCCCCUCCCCCUCCAGCCUGUCACUCUUUCCGGGCUUGUGACUGCUUCAGAAUUGUGAACUUCAAAUUUCCCCACUGUUUUGUUGAUCCUGGGCUUUUGAUUCAAGGGCCUGUCUGGCAGGAGAUGGCCUAAGCACAUCAGCAAUAGCAGAUGACAAAUGCCAAAACAGAAAGAAAAUAGGAUACAAAUGAUUUCCUCCUACAUAUUUACAUUUACCUGCUCCAGAGAUUGUGCAUUUGGGGUUCUACCCGUUAUUAAGUAGGAGCCUACGUUAUGCCUAUAAUGACCUCAUCAUGCUGCGUGAUUAUGGGCUGCAGCCGCCAAACACUUUCAGACGACACUGUGAACUUUAAAUUGGCACUCCAAUCUCCCAGUGGCCUGUCAGUCAUGAGAAUCGCGUCUUUAUGCCAGCAAGCCCCUUGGAUGGAGUCUGACAUUGCAAUCUUCAGUAAAUUACCCUGUCACUGACAAUCUUGCAGUUAUCUCGCAAACAAUCAAGCAGGCAAUCAAACUGUUCUGAAUUGCCAGUUCAGGACCUGAGAGGUGGCCGAUGUCUCCAUUCAACAGCAGAGGGAAAGCGGCCUGGCCCUCCUAUGACAAUGGACGAUUUCUUUAUUUAUUUAUCUACCUACUUAUUUGUUAGUCUGGUUGGCUUUUUCCUGGGGAAGGGGGUGAGGAUGGUAGGAGAGGUUUGCAGAGUCCUCAAAAAGGGCCCAAUACUGACUCAGCGGUUAUGGGAAAGCGACUUAGGCCUUCUGAAUCAGCCCACACUGCGGUGGCUCAUGUCUGCUUAAUCUUACUUCACUCAGUGAAACGGGGCCAAAAAGAAUUAUCUAGGUGUUUUCUGUCAGAACGGACGCUAAAUCACAGCUCUGGUUCUAGUCUACUCAUACACGUCAUAAGCUAAUUGUAAUGACAAUUUCAGAGAAAUGUGAUCAUGGAGAAACUUUCUGGGAAUGAUACCAAGGCAUUCUAUUUAUUGCUUUUGAUAAAGCAAAUCAGAGAGAUUCUUCCAUAACAGUUCUGGCAACGUGAAACAGGUUCAUUAAUGCUGAAUUGAAACCUUUGGAUUAGAAGUCCCAAGGUAAAAAGCCAAAAAUUCUACACAGCAUCAGAGGUGACAGCCUGGCCUCUGGAAUCAGAUGGAUUUGGGUUUGAAGCUCGUCUCUGCUAGUUCCCUGGCUGUGUGAGCUUGGAAAGGAGGGGUGACGCUUCCUUCCCCAAGGAAGUCUGAAGACAAGGCAGUGGACACCCAUCAACAGGGGAAAGAGAAAAUGAAUGAAUGGGAGCUCUGUAAACCACAUCAGCAACCUCGAAAAUGUCCAACUGCAAAGACCCAUGUCUACAAAUUGCUGUCAGCCAGAGGAAUGGCUGUAACUUCCUUGGUGCCGAGAGAUGGGAUUUCACUAUGUUGGCCAGACUGGUCUCGAACUCCUGACCUCGUGAUCCGCCCGCCUUGGCCUCCUGAAGUGCUGGAACUAUAGGCGUGAGCCACCGUGCCCGGUCAAGAUAAUUUCUUAUAGGACAACAGGACAGGAUCACCCAGGAAAAGAUGGACUCCCUGCUCAGUUCCUACUUACAGUAUCUGAGUCACUUAACUAAAUGCAAUCGGCCCAGCUGCAGGCACCACUGCUCGGGCCACUAUAAGAACCAGCCCCUGAGCUUCCGGACAGGAAACAGCAUCUGCAUUUCCAGACUGUAGCAGCUCAUCAUGCCAGGCUCCACAGGCAAGAAUCAAGCAGAUGGAAGCUACAGAGGAAACAAACAGGGU
rnacentral:lncRNA from 10 species